AUGCAAUAAACUUUUCUAAACCCAGUUUUCAACAAUUUUCACCGAUGAAAACAUAAAUUUUAUAUUACAUCCGAGUUUAUUCUUCUCAAAUCUUCCAUUCUCCUUCUCAAACACUGAAACCCUAACCUUCUCUGAAAUGAGGUCUUCCCAAAUAUUCCCUUAAUCGAAAUCCCAAAUCUUCCCUUGAUUCUCAACGGCAAUGCAACAGGGUACGAACAAGUCAACGAAACAAGCCAAAAUCUCGAGGGUGCUUCCCCGCCAUCACUCAUGUUCAGCAGCGAUGAUGACGAUGAAGAAGCCAAUCAAGAUUUGAAUCUCAAAAUCGUGGAAAAGGCCCUACGAAACUGAGAGGCAAAGCUUGCACUAAACGACAUAGUUUUGAACGGUAUCGACUCUUCUCUGGUUUCACCGUCGCACCAAUCUGAAUUCAAGGUGAUGCAAUGCGACGUUUUGGAUAUAGCUGUUUGGGAAGUGAUGGAAGAGAAGAAAACGACGAAGUUGAUGAUGGACUCUGGGGAUUCAAGUGUUAAUAUAGUUGCAGAUCAAGAGGUGGAAGAGAUAAUUAAAACUUCAAGUCUGUGGAAUUGGAAGCAAGUCCAGUUCAGAUAAUGAAUCUAAUGAAUUUUUCAGAUGAUGAUUCAAUGUAAUUAUUAGAAGAUAUUCUAAUUAAGAAAGGUGCAAACUACGUUGAUGAUCGAAUUGUUAAAGCGCUUAUUGCCCGUGAUACAUGAAAUAUCCGCAUCAAAGAUAGAAAAGGUCAAACUGCACUGCAUAUGGAUGUCAAAGGACCGAGUACAUCAAUGGUGGAAAAGAUAUUACAAGCUGAUCCAACUAUAUUGAAUAACUGCAAUAAGAAGGGUAAUACAACUCUUCACAUGGCUACGAGGAAAGAUAGUGAGCCUUUUGUUAAGCUAUUCAUCUGUGGAUUUUAAUGCUAUCAAUAAGCAAAUAAGAAACAGCAACCGAGGUUGUACAAGACGAGUAAACCGAUAUGCAAAAGUUAUGAUUUCAGCGAGUAAAAGACAGAGAUGGUGACUCACUCUCGCAUAUAAUCAAUCAUGGGAAACGAUUAUUCUGAAAUUGACGAGUGGAACCAGAAGAAGAUACACCAGAAUAAUGUGAAUCAUAUAGAAGUAAAAGAUAAGUCAAACAAUCUCUUUUUAAAUCCAUGUGAUUCAUGUGUGCAUAUAUUUUGAAUUGAUGUGUAUCUAUUUAUUAACUCAUGUAUUGUAUGGCUCUAUUUUUCCUUUGUUUUCAAUUUCUAC